AUACAGAGGGUGCAAGCGUUAAUCGGAUUUACUGGGCGUAAAGCGCGCGUAGGUGGCUAAUUAAGUCAAAUGUGAAAUCCCCGAGCUUCACUUGGGAAUUGCAUUCGAUACUGGUUAGCUAGAGUAUGGGAGAGGAUGGUAGAAUUCCAGGUGUAGCGGUGAAAUGCGUAGAGAUCUGGAGGAAUACCGAUGGCGAAGGCAGCCAUCUGGCCUAAUACUGACACUGAGGUGCGAAAGCAUGGGGAGCAAACAGGAUUAGAUACCCUGGUAGUCCAUGCCGUAAACGAUGUCUACUAGCCGUUGGGGCCCUUGAGGCUUUAGUGGCGCAGCUAACGCGAUAAGUAGACCGCCUGGGGAGUACGGUCGCAAGACUAAAACUCAAAUGAAUUGACGGGG
rnacentral:rRNA from 1 species